rnacentral:rRNA from 1 species
UGGGGAAUAUUGCACAAUGGGCGCAAGCCUGAUGCAGCAACGCCGCGUGAACGAUGAAGGUCUUCGGAUCGUAAAGUUCUGUUGCAGGGGAAGAUAAUGACGGUACCCUGUGAGGAAGCCCCGGCUAACUACGUGCCAGCAGCCGCGGUAAUACGUAGGGGGCUAGCGUUAUCCGGAUUUACUGGGCGUAAAGGGUGCGUAGGUGGUCUUUCAAGUCGGUGGUUAAAGGCUACGGCUCAACCGUAGUUAGCCUCCGAAACUGGAAGACUUGAGUGCAGGAGAGGAAAGUGGAAUUCCCAGUGUAGCGGUGAAAUGCGUAGAUAUUGGGAGGAACACCAGUAGCGAAGGCGGCUUUCUGGACUGCAACUGACACUGAUGCACGAAAGCGUGGGUAGCAAACAGG